rnacentral:lncRNA from 1 species
UACAUACCUGUAUUAUUAUAUACACACACACCUAUGUAUGUGUGUGUAUAUAUAAUCAUACAUGUAUGCACUUGUGUAGACAUCAUCUUCAUUUAACAUGGAAAGCAGACAUUAAACAAUAAUGAUGAUGUAUGUACAAGUGCAUAUAUGUAUAUAUAUAUAUAUAUAUACACACGCCUGUGUGUGUAUAUAUCCAUCUAUCUGUCUAUCUCUAUCUAUCUAUACGUAUACACACACACACACUUCCUACCUUCUUCUUUCUCUCUGCCUCUUUUCCUCUCCGUAUACAAACAUCUUUAAAGCUGUUUACAAAUAUAUAAAUGUAUAUAUUUUUUUAAAUAAAGGAGUAUCAAAAAGUGGGGUCAGCUGACUGCAUUUUCUCUUUAGUUCACAAUCGAGAGAGUUCGCUUCGGCAUGGACUGUCAUGGAAGGAUUCACUAUUUCAUGGAAAUAAACCGGGAGUUGUUACCAUGGAUACGGCAUGAUGCAAGAUUGGUUUACUGAAGUUUAUGAAACAUUUGUAAAUUGAGAGUGGCUGUGUGGUAAGUAGCUUGCUUACCAACCACAUGGUUCCGGGUUCAGUCCCACUGCGUGGCAUCUUGGGAAAGUGUCUUCUACUAUAGCCACAGGCCGACCAAAGCCUUGUGAGUGGAUUUUGUAGGCGGAAACUGAAAGAAGCCUGUCGUAUAUAUAUAUAUAUAUAUAUAUAUAUGUAUAUAGGUGUAGGAGUGGCUGUGUGGUAAGUAGCUUGCUUACCAACCACAUGGUUCCGGGUUCAGUCCCACUGCGUGACAUCUUGAGCAAGUGUCUUCUACUAUAGCCACAGACCGACCAAUGCCUUGUGAGUGAAUUUGGUAGACGGAAACUGAAAGAAGCCCGUCGUAUAUAUGUAUAUAUAUGUGUAUGUGUGUGUGUUUGUGUGUCUGUGUUUGUCCCCCUAGCAUUGCUUGACAACCGAUGCUGGUGUGUUUACGUCCC